UUUUUUUUUUUUUUUUUUUGCCUUUUCUAGGGCCGCACCUGCGGCAUAUAGAGGUUCUCAGGCUAGGGGUCGAAUUGGAGCUGUAGCUGCCUGCCUACGCCAGAGCCACAGCAAGGCGGGAUCUGAGCCGCGUCUACAACCUACACCGAAGCUCACGGCAAUGCUGGAUUCUUAACCCACUAAACAAGGCCAGGGAUCAAACCUGCAACCUUAUGGUUCCUAGUUGGAUUCGUUAACCACUGCUCCACGACGGGAACUCCUAGGAAUAUUACCUUUAUUUUUAUUUUAUUUAUUUUUAUUUUUUUUAGGGCCACGCCUGAGGCAUAUGGAAGUCCCCAGGAUAGGGGUCGAAUCGGAGCUACAGCUGCUGGCCUACACCACUGCUCACGGCAACACCGGAUCCUUUACCCACUGAGUGAGGCCAAGAAUUGAGCCGGCAACCUCAUGGAUACUAGUUGGGUUCAACAGGAACUCCUAGGAAGAUUACCUUUAAAUGGCUCGUUUUCUCUGACUCGUUUGGUCAAGGAGAGGUUCCUGCUCCAGGCUUGAGCAUUCUGCCCUCUCCAGCUCCUGUGAAGCAGCCCUCGUCUCUCAUCAGGAGUUUCUUCUGUGGCUGGCAGGCUCUCAGACCACAGGGAUUUUUCACCACCAGCACCACCUGCUGCCCUGAUUCCCAGAGGCCUCUCCCUUUCCACCUGGCCUCCUCGCUGCCCUCUAGUUGACACACUCUGGCGUUUGCUGCUGGCCAAGAACAGGGAGGGGCUGCAGGGUGUGGGGUGAUGGGUGAUCUGGAAAUAGCCUUGGGGGAGGGGCCUGGCUCUGAAGCUGGCAUUGAGGUGUUUGUCUGCGUUGGACCCUUAGCAGUCAGAAAAAGGAGGUGUCUUUUUAAGUCCGCUUCUCCUAGGGAAUCUCACCAUGCCGGGUAGUCACUGCUUUGGGUUGGUGACUGUGGUAAUACCCACAUACUGGGGUAUUUUUGCUCGACUACCUAGGGGUUUCCUCCCCCUGGGGCUCCACACUUUAACUGUGUCUUGUAGAGGAAGGCCCUGGGGUGGGUUGUGACCUGGAGGGGGGCCAGCUGGCUCUUUACACAGAGCAGCCACACCACAUCUGCCAGCUCAUGAUCCCCCCACUCAGCACUAGCCACUUGUGUGGCUGCCCCCAGUGACAAAAGCCUGCUCAUCAGGGGCAGGGGCAGGAGCAGGAGCAAGGCAGCCAGUGGUGCAGGGUCAGAGGUAGGGCUGAGGAAGGACCAGGUACUCAUGGGUUUUCCAUGAUGUCAUCUUUCCUACUGGAAGCACAGGCAAGCUGGCUGACACCCACCAGGCUGGCUCUCCCAAGUCAGCCGCCUGCAGACCCUGGCAACCCAAAGUGACAGGCUCAUGCUUUGAUGGUGGUGGUGACAGGCUUGUGGCCUCCCUGCCAUCCCUCAGGCAGCCUAGGGCCUGGCUUGCAACUGCCUGUUCUUUGCCCAUCAGUCCUGUAACUGUCCUCUUUGUUCAUGAAGUUCUGACCUAUAUGUUGUUCACUGUUCACAUCCAGAACUUUAUGAAAGAUAAACGUAACUGGGAGUUCCUGGUGUGGCUCAGCAGGUUAAGAACCUGACUAGUAUCCAUGAGGAUGAGGGUUCUAUCCCUGGCCUCACUCAGUGGGUUAAAGGAUCUGGCGUUGCUGUGAGCUGUGCUGGAGGUUGCAGGUGUGGCUUGGACCCCACAUUGCUGUGGUUGUGGUGUAGGCUGGCAGCUGCAGCUCUGAUUUGACCCCUAGCCAGGAAUUUCAAUGUGCUGCAGGUGUGGGCAUAAAAGAAAAACAGAACGGUUCGUGGAAGGAAAAGUGUGUCUCCAGGCUAAGUGACUAAGAGCGGGAAAAGUCUUAGCUCACCCAAAACUCCUGGGGACUCUCUUCAGCCUCCAGAGUUGCAGGGACUUUCUUGGGCUUGUGUUUCACCCGCAUGCUGAGUCCUGCCAGCCUCAAUCCUUCAGAUCCUCUGGGCCUCCCCAGACCUCCUGGUGGUGAGGGUGAGGAGGAGGCAGGCGCAGGUCCCCAGCUACCCUGAUGGGUGAUGGGGAUACUUUGCAGGUUUACCUGACACCUUCUGAGGCUGACAUCCCCCCUCCACCCCUGGACUGCACCUGCCUGGUCUGUACAGAGGUUCAAGGUCUCCACAUCUGACAAACACGGGCCCAUCCAGUGGCUCCAAACCUCAGAAAUGGGAUGAUUCUAUACCAGUCUGUCUGAUAUCACAAAAGGCAGGACAGGCAAUGGUUAGGGACACUGAUGCCAAGCAGUCAAACCAGGGUUUGAUUCUAACUCUACGAUUCACUAGCUGGGUGACUUGAUAAAAUAACUACUCUUAGCCUCAGUUUCCUCACUUACAAAAUUGGAUUCGUAGUAUCUCCUAUGUCAUAGGGUUGUCAUGAGGAUUAAGGAAGACAAGGUGAAGUCUCUAGCGCCGGGGGCCACGCAUGUUACUGCUACCACAGACCUCACCUUCCAGGUAUACAAGGGCCCACGAGGGGCCCUCACAACCCACCACACUCUAGGACAACCUGAAGAUUUAGGCCUCUAUGUAUUUACUGCUUCCCUACAAUCUUGCACCAGAAGUGGAAGGCACUGGCCUUUGAAAUAACUGGAGAGCAUCUGGGAAGAGAAUUAUGGCGCCUUAGGAGUUCUUGCUUUGGUGCCAUAGCAUCAGUGGCGUCUCUGGAGCAGUGGGACACAGGUUUAAUCCCUGGCUUGGCACGGCAGGUUAAGGAUCCAGUGUUGCUGCAACUGCGGCUCCGAUCUGAUCCGUGGCCCUGGAACUCCAUAUGCUGUGGGGCAGCCAAAAAUGAAAAAAAGAGAAAAAAAAAAA
ensembl:lncRNA